GCGGCCGCGCGGGUCAGGACCGCCGCGCCGCCAGGGGGCGCGCUCGCCGCCCGCCGUCGGGCCGCCCCCGCGGCUCUCUCCGCCCGGCGCCGGCGGGGGAGGGCGGGGGGCGUGGUCGCCGGGCGCCCCCUCUCCGCCCCCCCCGCCCCCCCCCCCCCCGCCCCGCGUCCGUCCCCAUCUCGGUCCCCGCCCCGCCUCGUCCCUCUCUGCUGCGCUCUCCGGUCGGCUCGUCUCCGCCUCGCCCCGUCCCCCUCUGUCUCUCUGUCCAGGCCGUCGUCUCCUUCCCUCCCUGCCUCCGUCUCGUUCGGUGUCGGCUGGUCCAGGACUCAUCCGCCCACGGUCACCCUCCUCAUUAAAGAUAAGGAGGAAGAGGUGGAAGAUUAUUUACCAUCAGCUGGCCCCCGGAGGUAUCUUUAACCUGGGCCCAGAAGGGAAACUAUCUUUGAAGAUCCAACCAAUCCCCACACCCCCCCUGGUCGCUGGGUUUCCUGAUGGCUCAGAGAGAAGGCAGGAGCCUCACAAAGCCAGCAGGCAGGU